rnacentral:tRNA from 1 species
GGGAUUGUGGCUCAGUGGUAGAGCGCUCAACUAGCAUGUGUGAGGCCCUGGGUUCGAUCCUCAGCACCA